AGGUUUCGACGGGGGUGUGGAAGCGGGAUAAGCGAGCCGUAGUUUGCUCAGUCUACGUUAAAAAGGGCACGUUAAAGAUAAACGCGAAAACUAACAACAAUUACGCACUGGCAGCAUAGCCUGCCCGCGUCGCCAAACCCCAUUCACCUGCAGGUGAGGAUGCGGUGUCAUAAUGCAGGAAAACUCUGUGUGAGCUCCCGGUAGCACAGGGGACCAACGGGAUAGCUAAGACCGUGACGUGCCGGAUGAAGCACGGGCGAGGCGAAUAAAAACAGCGCCGGCUGCGCUCGGAGAAACUCCCUGUGGAAAUGCUUUCGGACGUGGGUUCGACUCCCACCAUCUCCACCA
rnacentral:tmRNA from 1 species